rnacentral:sRNA from 12 species
GCAGCCCUGCGAUGCGCGAACGCUCAAGUUCCACUUGGGAUGGCCCGGUGAACCCGGCUAGCGCACGCGGGGCUGU